rnacentral:rRNA from 1 species
UACAGAGGGGGCAAGCGUUGUUCGGAAUUACUGGGCGUAAAGGGCGCGUAGGCGGCCUGCUAAGUCGAACGUGAAAUCCCUGGGCUCAACCCAGGAACUGCGUCCGAUACUGGUUGGCUUGAAUCCGGGAGAGGGACGUGGAAUUCCAGGUGUAGCGGUGAAAUGCGUAGAUAUCUGGAGGAACACCGGUGGCGAAGGCGACGUCCUGGACCGGCAUUGACGCUGAGGCGCGAAAGCCAGGGGGAGCAAACGGG